rnacentral:ncRNA from 1 species
ACCACUGUCGCAAGACAGUGCUGAACGCACAGGAGUCAGCAGAGGUCAUAGUAGCGGCGCAGUCGUGAAGGAC